rnacentral:rRNA from 1 species
AAGCCUACUCUAGCUCAACCACACUACUAACUGGACAGACUAAAAAAUUUACUCUACCAAACGAACUAAAACAUUCUCUCAACUUAGUAUAGGUGAUAGAAAAGGUAUUUCUGACGCGAUAGAGACUCGUACCGUAAGGGAAAGAUGAAAUAACAAUGAAAAUUCAAGCAAUAAACAGCAAAGAUAAACUCUUGUACCUCUUGCAUCAUGAUUUAGUAAGAACAACCAAGCAAAAUGAAUUUAAGUUUGUCACCCCGAAACCCAAGCGAGCUACUCACAAACAGCUACCCAUGAGCGAACCCGUCUCUGUUGCAAAAGAGUGGGAUGAUUUGUUAGUAGAGGUGAAAAGCCAACCGAGCUGGGUGAUAGCUGGUUGCCUGUGAAAUGAAUCUAAGUUCUCCCUUGACCAUCCUCUACGGAUACUUAACAUAACCAUAAUGUAGUAGAUCAAGAGUAACUUAAAGGAGGUACAGCUCCUUUAAAAAAGAAUACAAUCUCCCCUAGCGGAUAAACUACAUAUAACAUAUUUUCACUGUGGGCCCUCAAGCAGCCAUCAACAAAGAGUGCGUCAAAGCUCUACUCUUAAAAAUCCAAAUACAAAAUGAAUCCCUUACCCCCAACAGGCUAAUCUAUAACAAUAGAAGAAUUAAUGCUAAAAUAAGUAACUAGGGAAACCCCUCUUAAGCGCAAACUUACAUCCUAACAUUAUUAACAGAUAACGGAUACAACAAUUCCAACAAGACCCAAUAUCAUCUACCCUGUUAACCCAACCCAGGAGCGCCUAUUAGAAAGAUUAAAAUCUGUAAAAGGAACUAGGCAAACCUAAGGCCCGACUGUUUACCAAAAACAUAGCCUUUAGCCAAGCCAAGUAUUGAAGGUGAUGCCUGCCCAGUGACAUUAUGUUUAACGGCCGCGGUAUCCUAACCGUGCGAAGGUAGCGCAAUCAAUUGUCUCAUAAAUCGAGACUUGUAUGAAUGGCUUAACGAGGUCUUAACUGUCUCUUACAGAUAAUCAGUGAAAUUGAUCUUCCUGUCCAAAAGCAGGAAUAAACACAUAAGACGAGAAGACCCUGUGGAACUUAAAAAUCGCGACCACCACGUAUCAACCUAAACCCUACUAGGCUCACAACUACUAAACCAUUGGUCUGCAUUUUUUGGUUGGGGCGACCUUGGAGAAAAACAAAUCCUCCAAAAAUAAGACCACAUCUCUUAACCGAGAGCAACAUUUCAACGUGCUAAUAGUAACCAGACCCAAUGCAAUUGAUUAAUGAACCAAGCUACCCCAGGGAUAACAGCGCAAUCUCCUCCAAGAGCCCAUAUCGACGAGGAGGUUUACGACCUCGAUGUUGGAUCAGGACAUCCUAGUGGUGUAGCCGCUACUAAGGGUUCGUUUGUUCAACGAUUAAUAGUCCUACGUGAUCUGAGUUCAGACCGGAGCAAUCCAGGUCGGUUUCUAUCUAUGACAGACUUUUCCCAGUACGAAAGGACCGGAAAAGUAGGGCCAAUGCUACAAGCACACCCUCUUCCCAAGUAAUGACACAAGCUGAAUUACCAAAGGAAUAUCCACCAACAUUUGUCCUAGAAAAGGACCG